rnacentral:rRNA from 1 species
UGGGGAAUUUUGGACAAUGGGCGAAAGCCUGAUCCAGCCAUGCCGCGUGAGUGAAGAAGGCCUUCGGGUUGUAAAGCUCUUUUAGUCGGAAAGAAAGAGUUGCAAUGAAUAGUUGUGAUUUAUGACGGUACCGACAGAAAAAGCACCGGCUAACUACGUGCCAGCAGCCGCGGUAAUACGUAGGGUGCGAGCGUUAAUCGGAAUUACUGGGCGUAAAGGGUGCGCAGGCGGUCUUGCAAGUCAGAUGUGAAAGCCCCGGGCUUAACCUGGGAAUUGCGUUUGAAACUACAAGACUAGAGUGCAGCAGAGGGGAGGGGAAUUCCAUGUGUAGCAGUGAAAUGCGUAGAGAUGUGGAAGAACACCGAUGGCGAAGGCAGCUCCCUGGGUUGACACUGACGCUCAUGCACGAAAGCGUGGGGAGCAAACA